rnacentral:tRNA from 1 species
AAAAAACUAGUUAAUUAAUUAUAACAAAAGAAUGUCAUUCUUUAAUAACUUAUUAGUGUUUUUUA